rfam:Schistosoma haematobium scaffold11_7, whole genome shotgun sequence.
ACCCAGCUGACGCGUUUCAAAUAGGACGAAACACGUGUUCUGGAU